rnacentral:rRNA from 1 species
GACGAACGCUGGCGGCGUGCUUAACACAUGCAAGUCGAACGGAAAGGCCCUGCUUUUGUGGGGUGCUCGAGUGGCGAACGGGUGAGUAACACGUGAGUAACCUGCCCUUGACUUUGGGAUAACUUCAGGAAACUGGGGCUAAUACCGGAUAGGAGCUCCUGCUGCAUGGUGGGGGUUGGAAAGUUUCGGCGGUUGGGGAUGGACUCGCGGCUUAUCAGCUUGUUGGUGGGGUAGUGGCUUACCAAGGCUUUGACGGGUGGCCGGCCUGGGCGGGGGACCGGCCACAUUGGGACUGAGAUACGGCCCAGACUCCUACGGGAGGCAGCAGUGGGGAAUAUUGCACAAUGGGCGGAAGCCUGAUGCAGCAACGCCGCGUGCGGGAUGACGGCCUUCGGGUUGUAAACCGCUUUCGCCUGUGACGAAGCGUGAGUGACGGUAAUGGGUAAAGAAGCACCGGCUAACUACGUG